UACGCAGGAGAGAGAAAUUUCAUUUAUGGAUGCAGCACGGCAAACCAACGCAUAGAAUCGUGGUGGGGCAUUCUGCGUAAACAAAGUGGACAGUUCUGGAUGGACAUUUUCCAGACGCUCAGAGAUGAUGGACAUUUUUCCGGUGACUUCUUGGACAGAAAUCUGAUACAGUUCUGCUUCCUUAACCUAAUUCAGGAGGAACUAGACGAAGUUGUGAGGACAUGAAACUCCCAUCAAAUAAGGUCAAGGCCAGGAAUUCCAGCAGGACGCCCAAUUUUAAUGUACUGCAUGCCACAGAUUUAUGGUGCAGGGGAGGACAAACUCAAAUAUGUGCUUCCAGAAGAGGUCACUGUUUGCAAAGAGGAAUGCACCCCAAAAUCCCAGUUCCCCUGUGAUGAAACAGUCUUUGAGCUUUGUGCUCUUCUUAUUGAUGAAAAUGGCUGGGAUGCUCCUGUUGAUGCAUACCAUGCAGCUGAACUGUACAUUCUCUUAAGAAAUCAAAUACUAGAUAAUAUCUACUGAGCUUCUCAACACCAGCUAUGGGGAUCCACUGAUGAGCUGAGCCAAGCCAGUGGGUUCUCGGAACUGAAGUCACUUUCUAAGAGACUGUCUGUAGUUAUAUUAAAAUAAAUGUGUUUAUAUGCAUGCAUCUGACAAAAUAAAAAUGCAAUAAUUUCACAUA